AUACGGAGGAUCCAAGCGUUAUCUGGAAUCAUUGGGUUUAAAGGGUCCGUAGGCGGGUUUGUAAGUCAGUGGUGAAAGUUUUCGGCUCAACCGGAAAAUUGCCAUUGAUACUGCAAGUCUUGAAUCAUUAUGAAGUGGUUAGAAUGUGUAGUGUGGCGGUGAAAUGCAUAGAUAUUACACAGAAUACCGAUUGCGAAGGCAGAUCACUAAUAAUGUAUUGACGCUAAGGGACGAAAGCGUGGGUAGCGAACAGGAUUAGAAACCCCAGUAGUCC
rnacentral:rRNA from 1 species